UUUCAUUUCCAUUUUUAAUUCAGACGUCAAGACAGACUUCUGCAUAAAAGCGGCGCCCAGGCGCCGAAGCACGAGUCGCUUCCACGGGUUUUGAAGGGUUGAAGGCACAGAGGCCAUUCGAUAAUGAUCCCUCCGCAGGUUCACCUACGGAGA
rnacentral:misc_RNA from 1 species